rnacentral:rRNA from 1 species
UACGUAGGUGGCAAGCGUUGUCCGGAUUUACUGGGCGUAAAGAGCGCGCAGGCGGUCGGUCAAGUCGCGUGUGAAAGCCCCCGGCUCAACUGGGGAGGGUCACGCGAUACUGAUCGACUGGAAGGCAGGAGAGGGUAGUGGAAUUCCCGGUGUAGUGGUGAAAUGCGUAGAUAUCAGGAGGAACACCGGUGGCGAAGGCGGUUCUCUGGGCAUUACCUGACGCUGAGGAGCGAAAGUGUGGGGAGCGAACAGG